AGAAGGGGCCGAGUGGGGUUGGUGGCUGGAGAAGUGAAAGAUGGGGAGCCCUUGAUGCCCGGCUUCCCCACUGCGGACCCUCCCCGCCCGACCCGGGACUGUGUCCCCCUGUCCUCCAGACCCGCGGCCUCGUCCCGCGUAGAGGGGCCCGUUGCAACACAAGUUUUCCUUUUAUAAUUUGUAAAAAGAGCCUUGUGGGAAUUGGGUCUGUGGAGAUGGCUCCGUGGUUAGAGAGACUGGCUUACAAGAUAGAUAACCUUUACUAUAAAUUUUCUAUAACAUUCACAACACGGUAAUUUCAAAAAACCUGUCCACCAAAUUUAUUAUAAGAUUCCAGACAGGAUUGCCCAUCUAUUUUUCUUUAUGUUUCCAAACAGCCUAUGUCUCAAAUUGCCUGGAUUUGACUUUUUUUGUGUGUCUUUUCCCCACAGUGACGUGGGUUCAGAGACACUGGUGCAGGUAAACACGGGUCGGAAGGUCAAACUCCAGCUGUGCAGCGCUUGGGACCUUGAUCAGCCACCAACACUGAGACGCGGGAUAUCAUCAGGACAAAUGACCAAUCCAUGGAGAACAGGAGAGGAGAGAGGGACGCUCAGAGACGGUGACUGUCAACCCUCAUCCAAGCUGGCUUCCCCCUGGGGUGUGGACAGUUCUGAGCCACCUCUAGAGACUCUGUUCUGAAGUUACUUUCGCUCCUGGCUGUAUGUUGUCUCUGUUCCCAUUCUUCUUAAAAAACAAUAUUUUUAUUUAUUUGCAAGCAGGGAGAAAGACACACUGAGAGAGUGAGAAUAGACAAGCCAGGGUAUCUAGCCACUGAAAUGAACUCCAGACACAUGCGCCCCUUUUGUGGAUCUUGAUUUUUUGGGUACUGAGGAAGCACACCUGGGUUGUUAGGUUUUAGCUAAGGUCACAGCUGCUGCUGGUGGCAGUGGUCACCUGUGUCACUUGUAUGAGAACCUAGCUCCAUGGAGACCUCCUGUGGUGAAGAGAACAGUGAGCUGCUGUCUGUGGGAGGCAUUUUUACAUUAGCUCUUCCUAGUACUUAGCACUUUUCUCAUAUUGCAUGGUUAAUUCUUCCAGACUGAAGUUUCACUCCUGCUGGGAGGAGGGAGGCUCAGGACACUCAGGAGGUCAAGUUAGGGGGUGCUGUAACCUACAAGGUCACAGGACCACUCCCCAAGGUGAUAGGAUUAGUAAAGGACUUCUGAGGGGUGGACUGGCAGUGCUGGGUAGCAGUUUUCUCUGAACUGAACAUUCCCGCCUGGAGGAGGAUGGAGAAGCAGGAGUUCAGCCAGCCUGGCAGAGCUGAAACUUAGAAGGUGGCCAGCUGCCUCCCUAAGGUUGCCUACAGGAAAACCACUGCUGGGGAGGCUCUCCCAGGAGCCGAGCUGUCUGCAGGUGCUGCAGUGAGCUCCAGAGAGGCAGAUUCCAGGAGUCCUCACCUGGGCUGGGUGUGCUCUUUGGUGAUAUGGCUGCCUUUGAGUCACCCAUGGACCUUCAAGGAACCCCUCACCCUGCUCUAAGACUGGAAGACGUCACAGCCCAUGCUGCCCUUCACUUUGGGAUCAUGUGCAUGAAGACACCUCCUGAUCUUUCCAGUGGCUUCUCUGCUUCCUGCGGAGCUGGGUGCCUAGCGUCCUGCAUCUACUUCCUGUCACUCUUGCACCAUCUAGGAACCCUUUCUGCUCGUCUGAAUGAUCAAAUCAACUCAUUGCCAUGCAAACCCUCCUGUGUGGGGACAAUGGCCUUAUGUCAGGUGAUGAGUAGCAUCGAUUCCAGUCUCAUUGUGGAAGACAUGGCAGCUGCAAUACAAUAAUAAAACAUUCCUCUGAAGAA